GAGUGGCUAAUACCGCAUACGCCCUACGGGGGAAAGGGGGGGAUCGCAAGACCUCUCACUAUUGGAGCGGCCGAUAUCGGAUUAGCUAGUUGGUGGGGUAAAGGCCUACCAAGGCGACGAUCCGUAGCUGGUUUGAGAGGACGACCAGCCACACUGGGACUGAGACACGGCCCAGACUCCUACGGGAGGCAGCAGUGGGGAAUUUUGGACAAUGGGGGAAACCCUGAUCCAGCCAUCCCGCGUGUGUGAUGAAGGCCUUCGGGUUGUAAAGCACUUUUGACAGGGAAGAAAUGACUGGAGCUAAUAACUUCUGUAGAUGACGGUACCUGUAGAAUAAGCACCGGCUAACUACGUGCCAGCAGCCGCGGUAAUACGUAGGGUGCAAGCGUUAAUCGGAAUUACUGGGCGUAAAGGGUACGCAGGCGGCUAGGAAAGAAAGAUGUGAAAUCCCAGGGCUCAACCUUGGAACUGCAUUUUUAACUACCUAGCUAGAGUAUGUCAGAGGGGGGUAGAAUUCCACGUGUAGCAGUGAAAUGCGUAGAGAUGUGGAGGAAUACCGAUGGCGAAGGCAGCCCCCUGGGAUAAUACUGACGCUCAGGUACGAAAGCGUGGGGAGCAAACAGGAUUAGAUACCCUGGUAGUCCACGCCCUAAACGAUGUCAACUAGCUGUUGGGGCCGUUAGGCCUUAGUAGCGCAGCUAACGCGUGAAGUUGACCGCCUGGGGAGUACGGUCGCAAGAUUAAAACUCAUAGGAAUUGACGGGGACCCGCACAAGCGGUGGAUGAUGUGGAUUAAUUCGAUGCAACGCGCAAAACCUUACCUACGCUUGACAUGUCCUGGAAUCCUGAAAAGAUUUAAGAAGUGCCCCUCAAGGGAACCGGAAACACAUGUGCUGCAUGGGUUGUCGUCAGUCUCGUGUCGUGAAGAUGUUUGGGUUAAGUCCCCGCACGAGCGCAACCCUUGUCACUAGUUGCUACGCAAGAGCACUCUAGUGAGACUGCCGGUGACAAACCGGAGGAAGGUGGGGAUGACGUCAAGUCCUCAUGGCCCUUAUGCGUAGGGCUUCACACGUCAUACAAUGGUCGGGACAGAGGGUCGCCAACCCGCGAGGGGGAGCUAAUCUCAUAAACCCGAUCGUAGUCCGGAUCGCAGUCUGCAACUCGACUGCGUGAAGUCGGAAUCGCUAGUAAUCGCGGAUCAGAAUGCCGCGGUGAAUACGUUCCCGGGUCUUGUACACACCGCCCGUCACACCAUGGAGAGUGGGUUUCACCAGAAGUAGGUAGUCUAACCGUAAGGAGGACGCUUACCACGGUGGGAUCAUGA
rnacentral:rRNA from 1 species